rnacentral:rRNA from 1 species
UGGGGAAUAUUGCGCAAUGGGCGAAAGCCUGACGCAGCGACGCCGCGUGGGGGAUGAAGGCCUUCGGGUUGUAAACCCCUUUCAGCAGGGACGAAGCGCAAGUGACGGUACCUGCAGAAGAAGCGCCGGCUAACUACGUGCCAGCAGCCGCGGUAAUACGUAGGGCGCAAGCGUUGUCCGGAAUUAUUGGGCGUAAAGAGCUCGUAGGCGGUCUGUUACGUCUGCUGUGAAAACCCAAGGCUUAACCUUGGGCUUGCAGUGGAUACGGGCAGACUAGAGGCAGGUAGGGGAGAAUGGAAUUCCCGGUGUAGCGGUGAAAUGCGCAGAUAUCGGGAGGAACACCGGUGGCGAAGGCGGUUCUCUGGGCCUGACCUGACGCUGAGGAGCGAAAGCGUGGGGAGCGAACA